rnacentral:rRNA from 1 species
AUUGAACGCUGGCGGCAUGCCUUACACAUGCAAGUCGAACGGCAGCACGGGUGCUUGCACCUGGUGGCGAGUGGCGAACGGGUGAGUAAUACAUCGGAACAUGUCCUGUAGUGGGGGAUAGCCCGGCGAAAGCCGGAUUAAUACCGCAUACGAUCUACGGAUGAAAGCGGGGGACCUUCGGGCCUCGCGCUAUAGGGUUGGCCGAUGGCUGAUUAGGUAGUUGGUGGGGUAAAGGCCUACCAAGGCGACGAUCAGUAGCUGGUCUGAGAGGACGACCAGCCACACUGGGACUGAGACACGGCCCAGACUCCUACGGGAGGCAGCAGUGGGGAAUUUUGGACAAUGGGCGAAAGCCUGAUCCAGCAAUGCCGCGUGUGUGAAGAAGGCCUUCGGGUUGUAAAGCACUUUUGUCCGGAAAGAAAUCCUUGGCCCUAAUACGGUCGGGGGAUGACGGUACCGGAAGAAUAAGCACCGGCUAACUACGUG